UACGAAGGGGGCUAGCGUUGCUCGGAAUCACUGGGCGUAAAGCGCACGCAGGCGGAUCGUUAAGUCGGGGGUGAAAUCCCGAGGCUCAACCUCGGAACUGCCUUCGAUACUGGCGAUCUUUGAGUCCGGGAGAGGUGAGUGGAACUCCGAGUGUAGAGGUGAAAUUCGUAGAUAUUCGGAAGAACACCAGUGGCGAAGGCGGCUCACUGGCCCGGUACUGACGCUCAGGUGCGAAAGCGUGGGGAGCAAACAGG
rnacentral:rRNA from 1 species